rnacentral:rRNA from 1 species
UACGAAGGGGGCUAGCGUUGUUCGGAAUCACUGGGCGUAAAGCGCACGUAGGCGGACCUUCAAGUCAGGCGUGAAAGCCCCGGGCUCAACCUGGGAACCGCGCUUGAGACUGGCAUGCUCGAGUUCGGGAGAGGAUGGUGGAAUUCCCAGUGUAGAGGUGAAAUUCGUAGAUAUUGGGAAGAACACCGAUGGCGAAGGCAGCCAUCUGGACCGACACUGACGCUGAGGCGCGAAAGCGUGGGGAGCAAACAGG